GGGGUGAUAGCUCAGUUGGGAGAGCGCUAGACUGAAGAUCCAACUUCGGUUCCCAUCUUAUGGUAUAUCUAGAGGUCGCCGGUUCAAUCCCGGCUCAUCCCA